rnacentral:rRNA from 1 species
GACGAACGCUGGCGGCGUGCCUAAUACAUGCAAGUAGGACGCAGUUGCGAACGGGUGAGUAACGCGUAGGUAACUGCCUAUUAGAGGGGGAUAACUAUUGGAAACGAUAGCUAAUACCGCAUACUAGUAGAUGGACCUGCGUUGUAUUAGCUAGUAGGUAGGGUAAUGGCCUACCUAGGCAAAGAUACAUAGCCGAGCUGGGAGGGUGAUCGGCCACAAUGGGACUGAGACACGGCCCAGACUCCUACGGGGGGCAGCAGUAGGGGAACUUCGGAAAUGGGGGGAACCCUGGACGAGCAACGCCGCGGGAGUGAAGAAGGUUUUCGGGUCGUAAAGCUCUGUUGUUAAGGAAGCGGUACUUAACCAGAAAGGGACGGCUAACUACGUGCCAGCCGCCGCGGUAAUAC